UACGAAGGGGGCUAGCGUUGUUCGGAUUUACUGGGCGUAAAGCGCACGUAGGCGGUUCGAUCAGUCAGGGGUGAAAUCCCAGGGCUCAACCCUGGAACUGCCUUUGAUACUGUCGAUCUGGAGUAUGGAAGAGGUGAGUGGAAUUCCGAGUGUAGAGGUGAAAUUCGUAGAUAUUCGGAGGAACACCAGUGGCGAAGGCGGCUCACUGGUCCAUUACUGACGCUGAGGUGCGAAAGCGUGGGGAGCAAACAGG
rnacentral:rRNA from 1 species